AAGAGGGUCAUUUCAAAUAGAAAUGAGAUAGAUACAUCAGUGUACAACACGUGGGUGGUGGCCAAGCCUUUUAAAAUAAUAAAAAGGAUAACGUUUACCAUGGGGGAGUGAGGGCCGUGUGCCCCGAUCCCAAAACAUAGGAUAAAGUUUCUCUCCAAACGGCUAGGUCAUCCAACCAAGCAUUCGUCAGUUGGAAGGACAUGGGGCCUUGUUCAUGUGUUGGGUGCAUAUCUAGUUCUUCUAGGCGUCAGAUCCCUGAUUGGACACCCAUGUGGUUGAAGAAAGAUACAUACAUGCGAAGAUAGAAAGCAAAAUGACCAGCCCACUCCAUGAAAGGCUGUGAUGCUUCUAAACCCAACUGGUAUGCAACCCUCUUCCUCUCACUCCAUCUAGUGGCAGUGAUGCUUCUUCUUUGUUGAAUUCUGGCCUAGAAUUUGCAAUUUAGGUAAUCAAUUAAACUUUAGUGUGAAUAAAUGGGGAUAGGUCAAGGGUUUAUACCAUCGCCGAAUAUUUCUGCAGGGAAUUGAAAGGUCUGGAUCAGAAGUAAGGGAUGUCAACGAGAGGUUUAAAGGACUGAAAUUGGAAUAUGAAAAUCAGACACACCUUUGCCAAACCCAACAGGUAUGCAACCCUGUUACACUCAGUCUAGGGGAAAGUAGUGUUUCUUCUUUGUUGAAGUCUGGAAUGGAAUCUGCGGUUAAGGGCAUCAAUGAGUAGUUUGGAUCAAAAGUAAGGGAUAUCAAUGAGAGGUUGCAGAGUGUAGCACAAAAGUUGUUGCUCUAGUUUUGAGCCCCAGCAUGGGAUCUGGGUCUUCAUAAUCUUACCUCUCUUUCAGCUCCUACCAUUGGUGGGUGUGCUGAGCUCGUGUCCGUUCCAAAGGGUCUGCUCCCCACCAAUCUUGGUGUAUUUUGCAUCGAGGACUGCCCAAUUCUUAAAUCCCUACAUGAUGGACUCUCUGAUCUAACCUCUCUUAGACAUUUGGAGAUCCAUAGUUGUCCAAUGCUAAAACAACGGUACCAAAAGGGAGCAGAAUAGUGGUCCAAGAUUGCCCAAAUCCAUUCAGUAUUAAUAGAUGAUGAAUGGCAAUAAAUCUUAUUCACCACUUGUGGGCCUGCCCUCUCAAAAUAAAACCCAUGGAUUGAGUACGACAGAUGGGUAGUGUUUAUUAUGCAAAAAACACAAUAAAAGCAGAGAUGCAUUGCUGCCAAUAUGAAGUGAGGAAAAUGAUGAGAUGUGAAGAGCAUGAAUGAAUUAUGCAACAGACAUGCACAGAGCAGAUUUGUAUUAUGGAAAUUUCUCUCAGAUGGAAUUGGACGAACCCAUUUAAUUGGGAAAAGGUUGAGUUGUUGUCUCUCAGAUGGAUUGGUUCUCUGUGAAAGUGCUGAAGAAUUGGUGCAAAGCAAAAUGGCAAUUACAAGGAACAUUGCAGCUAAUUACCAUUGCCUAGCAUUGCAGCUAUAGUUAUCACUAAUGAGCAUUCCAAUAAUUGGGAAGUCAGAAUUGUGAGGUUAACUAAUUCUUUUCUCACUUUUGCAUCCUCUGCCCCAAGAAUCAAAUGGUUUUGUUCUCCAUUGUCAAAUUUGGACAAGAAUUUUGAUUGUGGCAAUAUCCUCUGAAUUAUAGAAACUACUUGAGGAAGGAAAGACACAAAUCAUUAUGCCAUGAACAGUCAAUUAACAUCAAUGAGUACACAUUUUGGCACAACACAUCAGAGGUGGUUGUAUUGAAUUUCUGAAAUGUUUACAUUGCAUCAUUACCAGUUAGGAAGAUAGUUGCAGCAGAAAUUCUACUAGAGAUAGUUGCAAGAUGCCCAAUGUAAUUUCUUUGCGUUUAUCUCUCACUUCUGGACUUCAAAUUGGCCGAAACAAAAGCAGAUCCACAUUAAUUGUC